UCGUGGCCAGUGGGGGAAGCACGGGCUACGCGCCGAUUCUUCCUCCUUGGUCAGGGAAGUCACUGAGGUGCAGGAGGCGGAGGGCGACAAGUGGAAGCCCCUUCCCAUUAUUAAGGAUGGAGAGCGGCGCAGUAAUUGGGAUCUAACCCACGAGGCGGAAACACUAGGGAAACGGCGCAAACGGAAAACCGGAAGUGCGUCACCCAACGGACGGGCGAAUCGUCUGCAGGCCACCAACGGGAACGCCGCGUUCGCGUUCGCCCCGCCCCAAAGGAAGAAGAGUCCGCCUUGCGACCGUAUCCGCUAGCUCAGCGCGGGUUGCGCUUGGGCACCCUGUUUGUUCCCACAUGCAGGGUAGCACAAGGAGAAUGGGCGUCAUGACAGAUGUCCACCGGCGCUUCCUCCAGUUGCUGAUGACCCAUGGCGUGCUAGAGGAAUGGGACGUGAAGCGCUUGCAGAGACACUGCUACAAGGUCCAUGACCGCAAUGCCACUGUAGAUAAGUUGGAGGACUUCAUCAACAACAUUAACAGUGUCUUGGAGUCCUUGUAUAUUGAGAUAAAGAGAGGAGUCACGGAAGAUGACGGGAGACCCAUUUAUGCAUUGGUGAAUCUUGCUACAACUUCAAUUUCCAAAAUGGCUACGGAUUUUGCAGAGAAUGAACUGGAUCUGUUUAGAAAGGCUCUGGAACUAAUUAUUGACUCAGAAACUGGCUUUGCGUCUUCCACAAACAUUUUGAACCUGGUUGAUCAACUUAAAGGCAAGAAGAUGAGGAAGAAGGAAGCGGAGCAGGUGCUGCAGAAGUUUGUCCAAAGCAAGUGGCUAAUUGAGAAGGAAGGGGAGUUCACCCUGCAUGGCCGGGCCAUCCUGGAAAUGGAGCAAUACAUCCGGGAGACGUACCCCGACGCGGUGAAGAUCUGUAAUAUCUGUCACAGCCUCCUCAUCCAGGUACCCGCUGGGCAGGGCAUGGGAGCUCAUUGCUGGGCCCUCAGCUCCUGGGGCUCUGCACAGGUACUUCCCAAAUCCUGGCUCUGGACCCAGCCCUCCUGCACUGCUGGCGCCUCCUCCCACAAGAGCUCCUGGAGGCCAUCUCCCAGGACGUGUCAGAGGAUGCCUCCCCACGGUGGCCUGCAGGGACGCACUGCCUCUCUCCUCCCUGGUUCUGCUGCUGGGGUCCAAGGGCUCUCGCUUACUUUAUUUUUCUCAGGAAGGUUGAGUGUUCUGUGCAACCUGCAUUAUUUUGGCAGUUUUGUGGCAGAGUAUUUGGCAGAGUGUCUCUAUCAAUUGCUGCUUUCCGCAGUGGUCUACUCCAGUUUGCAGGGCUUUGCAACCACUGAACCAGCGUGGACACUGAUGUGUCUUUCAGUUUCUGUCGUUUUGCAGCUGUAGCUGUUUGUAAUUGCAAUUGCUCUCCUGGGCCUCGUACACCUGUAUCCUUGGGCACAUGGUGAUUAUUUCCUUGGGCGGGGUUUCUGGGACAAAGUGCAAUUUUUUUUUGAAAGCUUUUGAUCCACAUCAGCAAAUAAGCUUCUGAAAAGCUGUGGCUGUCCACACGCCACCUGCAGGAUCUGAGUGCGGGAGCUUGCCAGCCCUUGGCUUCUGUCACUGCGUUCAUGUGUUCAGAAUUGUUUAGUAAAACCACUGCAACAAACAAGCAAACAAACAAAAGACUCCCCUGCACUAAGGCGUUUGGGAUUUUCAGUAUUAAUCUGGGGACUGGAAGAUAACCCGAUGCCACCAGCUGCCCAUUUUCCUUGUGGCUUCCCCAGAGGUUUGCAGAACACAGAGGUGUGCACCAGCUCUGCCGUCAUUGGCCUUUCUUGUUUCAGGGUCAAAGCUGCGAAACCUGUGGGAUCAGGAUGCACUUACCCUGCGUGGCCAAGUACUUCCAGUCAAACGCCGAACCGCGCUGCCCCCACUGCAACGACUACUGGCCCCACGAGAUCCCAGAAGUCUUCGACCCUGAGAAGCAGAGGGAGGCUGGUAUCUCAAAAUCGAACAAAAAGUCCCUGCGGUCCAGGCAGCAUUAGCCGUCGUGCUCUGCUGAGGGACUGGCUGCCUUGGGUGGCCUGAUCGCCGCAGCCCUUCUUGGAAGAGAGGCGUCCGUGUUUCAGGUUCCAUGCGAGUCACCUCUUUCUUCUUAAUGUGGACUGUCCACAGCUUUGGAAUAAACUGUCCUGGAA